rnacentral:rRNA from 1 species
UACGUAGGGACCAAGCGUUGUUCGGAUUUACUGGGCGUAAAGGGCGCGUAGGCGGCGUGACAAGUCACUUGUGAAAUCUCCGGGCUUAACUCGGAACGGCCAAGUGAUACUGUCGUGCUAGAGUGCAGAAGGGGCAAUCGGAAUUCUUGGUGUAGCGGUGAAAUGCGCUGAUAUCAGGAGGAACACCGGUGGCGAAGGCGGAUCUCUGGGCCAUUACUGACGCUGAGGAGCGAAAGCGUGGGGAGCGAACAGG